UACAGAGGGUGCGAGCGUUGUUCGGAAUUAUUGGGCGUAAAGGGCGCGUAGGCGGCGCGGUAAGUCACCUGUGAAAUCUCCUGGCUCAACUGGGAGCUUGCAGGCGAAACUGCCGUGCUGGAGUGUGAGAGAGGUGCGUGGAAUUCCUGGUGUAGCGGUGAAAUGCGCAGAUAUCAGGAGGAACACCGGUGGCGAAGGCGGGUCUCUGGGCCGAUAUUGACGCUGAGGAGCGAAAGCGUGGGGAGCAAACAGG
rnacentral:rRNA from 1 species